GAGUUUGAUCAUGGCUCAGGAUGAACGCUGGCGGCGUGCCUAACACAUGCAAGUCGAGCGGCAGCGAGGGGUGCUUGCACCCUGUCGGCGAGCGGCGAACGGCUGAGUAACGCGUGGGAACGUGCCCUAAAGUGAGGGAUAACGCACCGAAAGGUGUGCUAAUACCGCAUAUGAUCUUCGGAUUAAAGCUUUAUGCGCUUUGGGAGCGGCCCGCGUCGGAUUAGGUUGUUGGUAGGGUAAUGGCCUACCAAGCCGACGAUCCGUAGCUGGUCUGAGAGGAUGACCAGCCAGACUGGAACUGAGACACGGUCCAGACUCCUACGGGAGGCAGCAGUGAGGAAUCUUCCACAAUGGGGGCAACCCUGAUGGAGCAACGCCGCGUGCAGGAUGAAGGCCUUCGGGUUGUAAACUGCUUUUAUAAGUGAGGAAUAUGACGGUAACUUAUGAAUAAGGAUCGGCUAACUACGUGCCAGCAGCCGCGGUCAUACGUAGGAUCCGAGCGUUAUCCGGAGUGACUGGGCGUAAAGAGUUGCGUAGGUGGUUAGUAAAGCGAAUAGUGAAAUCUGGCGGCUCAACCGUACAGGCUAUUAUUCGAACUCACUAACUCGAGGGUGGUAGAGGUUACUGGAAUUUCUAGUGUAGGAGUGAAAUCCGUAGAUAUUAGAAGGAACACCAAUGGCGUAGGCAGGUAACUGGACCAUUUCUGACACUAAGGCACGAAAGCGUGGGGAGCGAACCGGAUUAGAUACCCGGGUAGUCCACGCCGUAAACGAUGGAUACUAGCUGUUGGAGGUAUCGACCCCUUCAGUAGCGAAGCUAACGCGUUAAGUAUCCCGCCUGUGGAGUACGGUCGCAAGACUAAAACAUAAAGGAAUUGACGGGGACCCGCACAAGCGGUGGAUCGUGUUCUUUAAUUCGAUGCUAAACGAAGAACCUUACCAGGGCUUGACAUCCAGGGAAUUUUUGGGAAACCAAUUAGUGCCUUUUGGAACCCUGUGACAGGUGAUGCAUGGCCGUCGUCAGCUCGUGUCGUGAGAUGUUUGGUUAAGUCCAUCAACGAGCGCAACCCUUGUGAAUAGUUGGAUUUUUCUAUUCAGACUGCCCCGGUAACGGGGAGGAAGGAGGGGAUGAUGUCAGGUCAGUAUUUCCCUUACGUCCUGGGCUAGAAACACGAUACAAUGGCUAGUACAAUGCGCAGCGAAGCCGCGAGGUGGAGCAAAUCGCAUCAAAGCUAGUCCCAGUUCGGAUUGGAGGCUGAAACUCGCCUCCAUGAAGUCGGAAUCGCUAGUAAUCGCAAAUCAGCAAGUUGCGGUGAAUACGUUCCCGGGUCUUGCACACACCGCCCGUC
rnacentral:rRNA from 1 species